rnacentral:rRNA from 1 species
UACAGAGGAGCCAAGCGUUGUCCGGAUUGACUGGGCGUAAAGCGCACGCAGGCGGUCGCGCGCGUGGGGUGUGAAAUCUGGCCGCUUAACGGCCAGGCGCCAUCCCAUACGGCGCGACUGGAGUGAUGCAGAGGUCGAUGGAAUUGCCGGUGUAGUGGUGAAAUGCGUAGAGAUCGGCAGGAACACCCGUGGCGCAAGCGGCCACCUAGCCCCGUUGCUGACGCUGAGGCGCGACAGCGUGGGGGAGCGAACUGG